GACCCUCAAGUCCAUGUGAGAGUAUCCGCUGAACUAAGCAUUCAAAGACGAAUCGUAACCCAGU
rnacentral:rRNA from 1 species